AGUGUUAUCGAAUCGCAUUGGUUUGAAUAACUAAAGUUCCAACGGUAUAAGAUGAGCAUGCGUCCCAUUAGCUUGUUGGUAAGGUAACGGCUUACCAAGGCAACGAUGGGUAGGGGUCCUGAGAGGGAGAUCCCCCACACUGGUACUGAGACACGGACCAGACUCCUACGGGAGGCAGCAGUGAGGAAUAUUGGACAAUGGGCGCAAGCCUGAUCCAGCCAUGCCGCGUGCAGGAUGACGGUCCUAUGGAUUGUAAACUGCUUUUAUACAGGAAGAAACACUCCGACGUGUCGGAGCUUGACGGUACUGUAAGAAUAAGGAUCGGCUAACUCCGUG
rnacentral:rRNA from 1 species